rnacentral:rRNA from 1 species
UAGGGAAUAUUAGUAAUGGGCGAAAGCCUGAACUAGCAACGCCGCGUGUGCGAAGAAGGCCUUCGGGUUGUAAAGCACUUUUUGAGAGGAUGAGGAAGGACGGUACUCUCAGAAUAAGUCUCGGCUAACUACGUGCCAGCAGCCGCGGUAACACGUAGGAGGCGAACGUUAUCCGGAUUUACUGGGCGUAAAGCGCGUGUAGGUGGUUUGGUAAGUAGGGCGUGAAAGCUCCUGGCUCAACUGGGAGAGGCCGUUCUAAACUGGCGAACUAGAGGAUGGUAGAGGGAGGUGGAAUUCCGGGUGUAGCGGUGGAAUGCGUGGAUAUCCGGAGGAACACCAGUGGCGAAAGCGGCCUCCUGGACCAUUCCUGACACUCAGACGCGAAAGCGAGGGUAGCAAACGG